UGCGUAGGCGGAACUUUAAGUCAGUGGUGAAAUCCUGCGGCUCAACCGUAGAACUGCCAUUGAUACUGAUGUUCUUGAAUGCAGUUGAGGUAGGCGGAAUGUGUAAUGUAGCGGUGAAAUGCUUAGAUAUUACACAGAACACCGAUUGCGAAGGCAGCUUGCUAAACUGUGAUUGACGCUGAUGCACGAAAACGUGGGGAGCGAACAGGAUUAGAUACCCUGGUAGUCC
rnacentral:rRNA from 1 species